GGGCGGCCUGCAAAGCCUUCUGGGUAAUAUGAGCCACAACCAGCUGAUGCAGCUCAUCGGACCGACUGGACUGGGCGGGAUCGGGGGCCUCGGGGCCCUCGCUGGCCCAGGAUUGGCUAACCUGCUGGGCAGCAGCAGCUCCAGCAGCGUCCCUGCAGCCAGCAACUCCUCCACCAGCCCGUCCACAGCCGUCACCCCCACCUCCUCCUCAGCCUCCAGCCGCCUCGGCUCCGCCCAGGUUCCCACCACC